UACGGGGGAGCAAGCGUUGUUCGGAUUUACUGGGCGUAAAGGGCGCGUAGGCGGUCAGCACAAGUCAGUUGUGAAAUCUCCGGGCUUAACUCGGAAAGGUCAACUGAUACUGUGCGACUAGAGUGCGGAAGGGGCAACUGGAAUUCUUGGUGUAGCGGUGAAAUGCGUAGAUAUCAAGAGGAACACCUGCGGCGAAGGCGGGUUGCUGGGCCGACACUGACGCUGAUGCGCGAAAGCCAGGGGAGCGAACGGG
rnacentral:rRNA from 1 species